rnacentral:rRNA from 1 species
UGGGGAAUAUUGCACAAUGGGCGCAAGCCUGAUGCAGCCAUGCCGCGUGUAUGAAGAAGGCCUUCGGGUUGUAAAGUACUUUCAGUCGGGAGGAAGGUGGUAAGGUUAAUAACCUUAUCAAUUGACGUUACCGACAGAAGAAGCACCGGCUAACUCCGUGCCAGCAGCCGCGGUAAUACGGCGGGUGCAAGCGUUAAUCGGAAUUACUGGGCGUAAAGCGCACGCAGGCGGUUGAUUGAGUCAGAUGUGAAAUCCCCGGGCUUAACCCGGGAAUUGCAUCUGAUACUGGUCAGCUAGAGUCUUGUAGAGGGGGGUAGAAUUCCAUGUGUAGCGGUGAAAUGCGUAGGGAUGUGGAGGAAUACCGGUGGCGAAGGCGGCCCCCUGGACAAAGACUGACGCUCAGGUGCGAAAGCGUGGGGAGCAAACAGG